AGGCUACUGCCAUCAGAGUUCGAUUAAGCCAUGUUAGUUGAGGGUGCUUCUUCUUCCUCGGAGGAAGAGGUAACCCGGCGGACGGCUCAGUAACACGUGGACAACUUACCCUUGGGACGGGGAUAACCCCUGGGAAACCGGGGCUAAUACCGGAUAGGGCAUCGGUUGCUGGAAUGCACGAUGUUCGAAAGCUGAGGCACCCAAGGAUAGGUCUGCGGCCGAUUAGGUUGUUGUUGAUGUAACGGAUCAACAAGCCUACGAUCGGUACGGAUUGUGAGAGCAAUAGCCCGGAGAUGGGUUCUGAGAGAAGAACCCAGGUCCUACGGGACGCAUCAGGCGCGAAAACUUUACAAUGUGCGAAAGCACGAUAAGGGAACUCUGAGUGCCUCCUAAGGAGGCUGUUCAAGUGUNUAAAANNCACCUGAANGAAGGGCUGGGUNAAGACCGNUGCCAGCCGCCGCNGUAACACCGGCAGCCCAAGUGNUAGCCAUGCUCAUUGGGUNUAAAGCGUCCGUAGCCGGNCCGGGUAAGUUCCUUGGGAAANUUGACCGCUUAACGGUCAAGCUUUCAGGGAAUACUGCUUGGCUUGGGACCGGGAGAGGUCAGAGGUACUCCAAGGGUAGGGGUGAAAUCCAUUAAUCCUUGGGGGACCACCGGUAGCGAAGGCGUCUGACCAGACCGGGUCCGACGGUGAGGGACGAANGCUAGGGUCGCGAACCGGAUUAGAUACCCGGGUAGUCCUAGCUGUAAACGAUGCGGGCCAGGUGUUGGCAUUACUGCGAGUGAUGCCAGUGCCGAANGGAAGCCGUUAAGCCCGCCAUCUGGGGAGUACGGUCGCAAGGCUGAAACUUAAAGGAAUUGGCGGGGGAGCACCACAACGGGUGGAGCUUGCGGUUCAAUUGGAUUCAACGCCGGAAAACUCACCGGAGGAGACAGCGAGAUGAAGGUCAGGCUGAAGACCUUACCAGAUUAGCUGAGAGGUGGCGCAUGGCCGUCGGCAGUUCGUGUCGUGAAACAUCCUGUUAAGUCAGGCAACGGGCGAGACCCGCGCUCACAGUUGCCAGCAUCUCCGCAAGGAGGAUGGGCACUCUGCGAGGACUGCCAUCGCUAAGGUGGAGGAAGAAACGGGCCACGGUAGGUCAGUACGCCCCGAAUCUUCCGGGCUACACGCGUGCUACAAUGGGUAGUACAAUGGGUAUCGACCCCGAAAGGGGAAGGCAAUCCCCUAAAGCUAUCCUCAGUUGGGAUGGAGGGCUGCAACUCGCCCUCGUGAACCCGGAAUCCGUAGUAAUCGCACCUCAAAAUGGUGCGGUGAAUAUGUCCCUGCUCCUUGCACACACCGCCCGUCAAGCCAGCCGAGUGGGGUUUAGGUGAGGGCAUGUUUUUUGGCAUGUUCGAACCUAAUUCUCGCAAGGGGGGGUAAGUUGUAACAAGGUAACC
rnacentral:rRNA from 1 species